rnacentral:lncRNA from 1 species
GUAAGAUCUACAUAUGUGUCCUAAGCAACAGACUGUAUGUGAGGUUUUGCUGCAGAAUGAGAUGAUGUUCUUAAAAACACUCCUUAUGCUACCUUGGAAAUAUGGUGUUUGUGGGUAGGCAAUCUGCUUGCAGUUUAUUUGCUGUUUGGAAGAAGUGACAAAGAAGAACAGAUGCUUUUUCUUUUGCUGUUUCAGUGGAAUAAUUCCAGAGAAGUUUGGAAAGCAGUGAUGAAAUCUUAAGAUUUCAGAGAAAUGUUGCAGAAGAUUCUUCCAUGAUGCACAAGACUUGGAAAGAAGCUUCCAGUUGAACAAAAUAAAGCAAACAGAUAAACUCCCACAAGUUCUGGGGGAGAAAGAGGUGAAUGAUUUCAACCUCAAACAAGUUUGAAACAAUGCUUCUUUAGGUGGUCAUUCAUCAGUUCAAGUAAUUUGGAUUGGGAGAGAAGAAAUCAGAAGUUGUUCCUUAGAACAAGAUGCAAGAAAUGCUGAUGCUUCAAGUAUUAGAAUCACUGAUCUCAGCAGACAGAGAUUUCAAAGCAAAGAUUCCCUGUGUCAUGAAAGGGCCCAGGACAAUCGCA